rnacentral:rRNA from 1 species
AUAUCACUAAGCGGAGGAAAGGAAACUAACGAGGAUUCCUCUAGUAACGGCGAGUGAAUGGGGAAGAGCCCAGCGCUGAAUCCGUCGGCCUCUGGUCGCUCGGACCUGUAGCGUAUAGGCGCGUUCGUCCGUCGUCGACGCUUACCCUAAGUUCUCUUGACUGAGACUAUUGUCCAAAGAAGGUGCCAGGUCUGUGAGGGUAACGUCGGUGGCGGUAGGUCGCGCUUGGAGUCGGAUUGCCUGAGAUCGCAGUCCAAAGAGGGUGGUAAACCUCAUCUAAGGCUAAAUACGGCCACGAGACCGAUAGCGCACAAGUA